AUUGAACGCUGGCGGCAGGCCUAACACAUGCAAGUCGAGCGGAUGAAGGGAGCUUGCUCCUGGAUUCAGCGGCGGACGGGUGAGUAAUGCCUAGGAAUCUGCCUGGUAGUGGGGAUAACGACCGGAAAGGGGCGCUAAUACCGCAUACGUCCUGAGGGAGAAAGCGGGGGAUCUUCGGACCUGACGCUAUCAGAUGAGCCUAGGUCGGAUUAGCUUGGUGGUGGGGUAAAGGCCUACCAAGGCGACGAUCCGUAAGGGGUCUGAGUGGAUGAGCAGUCAGACUGGGACGGAGACACGGUCCAGAGUCCUACAGGAAGGGGCAAGAGGGAAUAUUGGAGCAGGGGUGGAAGCCUGUUCCCGACGUGCCGAGUGUGGGAAGAACGACUUCGGGUUGGAAAGCACGUUAAGUUGGGAGGAAGCGGAGUAAGUUAAUACCGUGCUGUUUGGACGUUACAAACAGAAUAAGCGCCGGCUAACUUAGUGC
rnacentral:rRNA from 1 species